GAUGAACGCUGGCGGCGUGCCUAAUACAUGCAAGUCGAGCGAACGGACGAGAAGCUUGCUUCUCUGAUGUUAGCGGCGGACGGGUGAGUAACACGUGGAUAACCUACCUAUAAGACUGGGAUAACUUCGGGAAACCGGAGCUAAUACCGGAUAAUAUUUUGAACCGCAUGGUUCAAAAGUGAAAGCCGUUCUUGCUGUCACUUAUAGAUGGAUCCGCGCUGGAUUAGCUAGUUGGUAAGGUAACGGCUUACCAAGGCAACGAUGCAUAGCCGACCUGAGAGGGUGAUCGGCCACACUGGAACUGAGACACGGUCCAGACUCCUACGGGAGGCAGCAGUGGGGAAUCUUCGGCAAUGGGCGAAAGCCUGACGGAGCAACGCCGCGUGAGUGAUGAAGGUCUUCGGAUCGUAAAGCUCUGUUAUUAGGGAAGAACAUAUGUGUAAGUAACUGUGCACAUCUUGACGGUACCUAAACAGAAAGCCACGGCUAACUACGUG
rnacentral:rRNA from 1 species